AUACGGAGGGUGCAAGCGUUAUUCGGAAUUACUGGGCGUAAAGCGCACGCAGGCGGUUUAGUAAGUCUGAUGUGAAAGCCCACGACUCAAUCGUGGAAGUGCAUUGGAUACUGCUAGACUAGAGUAUAGGAGAGGUAAGCGGAAUUCCUGGUGUAGAGGUGAAAUUCGUAGAUAUCAGGAGGAACGACAGAGGCGAAGGCGGCUUACUGGACUAUCACUGACGCUGAGGUGCGAAAGCGUGGGGAGCAAACGGGAUUAGAAACCCCAGUAGUCC
rnacentral:rRNA from 1 species